rnacentral:rRNA from 1 species
UACGUAGGGGGCUAGCGUUGUCCGGAAUCAUUGGGCGUAAAGCGCGUGUAGGCGGUCCGGUAAGUCCGCUGUGAAAGUCGGGGGCUCAACCCUCGAAUGCCGGUGGAUACUGUCGGGCUAGAGUGCGGAAGAGGCGAGUGGAAUUCCCGGUGUAGCGGUGAAAUGCGCAGAUAUCGGGAGGAACACCAAUGGCGAAGGCAGCUCGCUGGGACGGUACUGACGCUGAGACACGAAAGCCAGGGGAGCGAACGGG